rnacentral:lncRNA from 1 species
UUUGGGAAUAUGACAACUUCCUCGUCAUUCUAAUCAAAUCAGGAUGAAUCGCGAUGUAAGAAGCUGUAUUUGUAUACAAAAAGUAGUGGAUAAUCACCAGGAAGUGGAAUAAUUCUCAUAGGAAUUAGGAUGAAGAAGUUAUCCAACUUUCAAAUAAGGUGAUCUCAGUUUUCCUGUUUGGGAAUAUGACAACUUCCUCGUCAUUCUAAUCAAACCAGGAUGAAUCGCGAUGUAAGAAGAUGUAUUUGGAUACAUAAAGAAGUGGAGAAUCACCAGGAAGUGGAAUAAAUCUCAUAGGAAUUAGGAUGAAGAAGUUAUUCCACUUUCAAAUCAGGUGAUCCCAGUUUUCCUGUUUGGGAAUAUGACAACUUCCUCGUCAUUCUAAUCAAAUCAGGAUGAAUCGCGAUGUAAGAAGCUGUAUUUGUAUACAAAAAGU